AAACACGCAGGGAGCGAACGGGGUGGGAGAGCGUCGGGUAUUCCGUUCGUAGCCUCGUUGCCAUGAUCUGACCUCGUGGUGUAAACAUCUGUACAGUGUAAUAAAUAAAUAAAAAACCAAGAAAUAUAUAAAAAGGCCGGGGGGAGGGAGAUUGAGCUUAGGGAAGAAGAGGAGGGAGGGAGGGAGGGAGAGGUGAUGGAGAGGGCGAUGGCAGAAGGGGAAGAGGAGAGGGGGAACGGAGGGCAGGGGGAAGCAGCGGCGGCGGAGGAGGAGGUGGGCUCCAGCCUCACCAUGGAGCGGGUGGCUGCUGCGAAGCAGUUCAUCGAGAACCACUACAGGAACCAGAUGAAGAACAUCCAGGAGCGCAAAGAAAGGCGCUGGUUUUUGGAGAGACAAUUAGCCUCUUCGCGAGUUCCGAAGGAGGAGCAAAUCAAUUUAUUAAAAGAUCUGGAGAGGAAGGAGACGGAGUUCAUGCGACUUAAAAGGCAUAAAAUCUGUGUGGAUGAUUUUGAGCUACUCACCAUUAUUGGGAGAGGAGCUUUUGGAGAGGUCAGACUGUGCCGGGAGAAGUCCUCCGGCAAUAUUUAUGCAAUGAAAAAGCUGAAAAAGUCUGAAAUGGUCAGCAAGGGUCAGCUGAUUACUCUGUCCAUGAUAUAUAUCCCAUGUGGUCGGGACUUCUUAAGUGGAGAAAAAAAAAUGAAGGGAAAGGUGGAGCAUGUUAGAGCUGAAAGGAACCUACUUGCUGAGGUUGCUAGCCAUUGCAUCGUGAAGCUCUACUAUUCAUUUCAAGAUGCUGAAUACCUAUACCUAAUUAUGGAAUAUCUUCCGGGAGGGGAUAUGAUGACCCUGCUAAUCAGAGAAGAUACCUUAACUGAAAAUGUGGCUAGAUUUUACAUCGCCGAGAGUGUGUUGGCCAUAGAAUCGAUUCAUAAACAUCAUUAUAUUCACAGAGAUAUUAAGCCUGACAAUCUUCUCUUGGACAAAAAUGGUCACAUGAAGCUGUCAGACUUUGGCUUGUGCAAACCAAUUGACUGCUUAAAACUUUUGACUUUGAAUGAGGAUGAACCAAUGAGUGAUGAAAUUCUUGAGGAGUCAAUGGACAUUGAUGGAAGCUUUUCAGAUGCAAAUAUGGGUAGCAGGUGGAAUAGCCCCCAUGAACAACUUCAGCAUCGGCAGAUGAACAGGAGGAAACUGGCAUUUUCCACAGUGGGAACACCAGACUAUAUUGCUCCAGAAGUAUUACUGAAGAAAGGAUAUGGAAUGGAGUGUGAUUGGUGGUCAUUGGGUGCUAUAAUGUAUGAGAUGCUUGUUGGCUGUCCACCAUUCUACUCUGAUGACCCAAUAACCACUUGUCGAAAGAUUGUGCAUUGGAGACAUAAUUUGAAAUUUCCUGAAGAGGCAAGGUUGUCACCUGAGGCAAAGGAUCUUAUCUGCAGAUUGCUAUGUGAUGUUGAGCACAGACUUGGCAGUGGAGGUGCAGACCAAAUAAAGGCCCAUCCUUGGUUCAAAGACAUCUUAUGGGAUAAGCUUUACGAAAUGGAGGCAGCAUUUAAACCUGAAGUAAAUGGAGAACUAGAUACCCAGAACUUCCUGAAGUUUGAUGAAUUGGAGCCACCUACUCCCACAAGAACUGGUUCUGGAUCAAGAAAGAUGUUGCUAAAUUCUAAAGACUUGAGCUUUGUCGGAUAUACUUACAAGAACUUUGAGGCUGUCAAAGGCUUUCAUCAUUCUUUUGGUAUACACGAGGUAUCAAGGUGUUAAAUUGCGUAGGCGAAGCCAGGCUGUGGACACCCUUUAUGGGCUUGGCGAGCUCCUAGGUGCCUAGGCUGCUGCCUAGGGAGCAGCAAGCGAUAGAGCUAUAGCCAGGCAGCCAACACCAAGCAAGAAGUAGACAGAAGAAGAGAAUGGCAGGGACGCAGCAGCCGACAGACUGUGGAGCCAUAGCAAACACCCAUCAAGAAGAAAAGGAGGAUGGAGACAAGCAGGAUAGAGGCUGGCAAGCAAGGUGAAGACAAAAACAUUGAAACAAAGGAAAAACAUGACCAAAUUAAGAAGCCAUAUCCGAAGAAAUGGAGGAAGGAAAAUGAAAGGAGAAAGGAGAAGAAUUAAGAGGAAGAUGUUGAAUAUUGUCUAAAGAAAAUGAAGGAUGAAACUAGGAGAAAAGAAAAAAGUGAAAAAUAUAUACGUUCUUGGCACCAAUGCUAAGUGAUUGCUAUCAUUGCAGUGAUCCAUCAUCAUCUAUAGCCAUCGGCCAACCUACCAGCAGCUGGCAGGUUGGUGGCAGCCCCAUAAAUCUUGAGAUGGGCUCGGCCUAGGCAGCCUGGCUCCAUUUGGUGCCAAGGCAACUGCUUUUAGCACCACUGGAUGAUAUAAAAGAACAUAUAUGAGGGCACUAUUUUAGGCUCAGGCAGUCACUCUUAUCAUCAUAACUAUGUGAUGUAUUAUAGCUGAUCACAAAGGUAUUUUUCUUUUGGUUUAAAUUACGUGUCUUAGAGUAAUGAUAAAAAAGAAAAAAGGCAAUCAUUUUGUUGGUCUCUUAUCAUCUGUUGUCUUUUACAUAUACAAGUAAGAGUUUUGCAAGUUUGCUCUUUUCUUUUACAGAAGAAUCUUUGAAGUCAUUCUGUUGCAAAUUAAUCCUGCAGAUAUGAAAAGAAGUACAUCACCAAAGCGGCCCGCAAUUGAUUCCAUAUUUGCCAAUUCAACUAUGGACUCUGCUAGGAAAUCAACUGGAGGGGAUACCGACGUACCCAUGGUCUUGUCGGGCGAUGCAAUGUCCCCAUAAUUUGCCAACUGCACUAAUUAAUAGUUUAUUCAUGUGCCCUCUGUGAUGUGGCUGUGGAAGUGACCUGUUUGUUUUUAGUCAGGUCUGCCCUAUUCAGUUGUCCCGAUAAGCUGCCUAGCAAGCAUUUUGCAGAAUCCAACCGGCUUUUAGUUGUCCAGUGGUAUAUGAAGGAUGUUUAGAAAAGCCCAGUGUAUCGAACCGUGCUCUUUGGAAUGUGUUUUGAUAGCAGAAUGCUGUGUACUGUGUCCUGGCUGCCCAGGUUGGCAAAGAGCAAACAUGCCUUCUGUUUGUGGCAAUCUCUGGUCUGGUUCAGCUUCGAUGACAGUAAGUCCUCCAAGCAUGCCGCUAUCAUGUCCAUGCUCUUUGAUUAGUAUUUGGGAAACCUUAAUAGUUUUAUUUAGUGCCCUUUUGGCCUCAGGCACCUAGAGCUUAGAUUUUUUUUGAUUUGCAGUCACUUUGUUCGAUAGUGAAAUAGUCUCUUUAGGAGUCAUUGUGAAAAGGCGUAUUGUAUGGAUUCAGUUCAACCUGAGAUCGUGCAUUUGGGACAAUCAAAAUGGUGAUGCAUUUGCAAUCGGCGGCAGAGUUUUGCAGAGGCCGGACAUUUUAUCUGGGCACAUCACCAAUCACAAAUGUGGUUCAAAUAUGGAUGUCUUCUCUCUUGAUUUCUGACUGGCGGUGCACUGAACGGUGGGAUUACAAGCAUUUGGAUAGAAUUUAUGCUCAGUUUAUGGGAAAGAGUUUGACAUGAUUUUCCAACCGUACAUGUUACUCAAAUGUAUCAACUCUUCAUAUGAAACAGUAUGGUAUGGUAUGCGUAAGCUUAAUUAAAUCAAAUCACCGGACUACCUGAAUUGAUUAUUUAGUUUAUUUCAAAGGGUCGACACAUCCAUGUAAAAAGCUGAGUGAUGUAAUUUGGUGUAUGGAUUCUAAUGUUUGUAUAUUGAAUUUGCGAAGUCAGAUGUUCUAAUGCC